GCGACCCCAGGACGGGCGAGACCACCCGCCAAGUUUAAGCAUAUCAAUAAGCGGAGGA
rnacentral:rRNA from 1 species